rnacentral:rRNA from 1 species
AGAGAGAGCUUGCUUUCUCGAGCGAGUGGCGAACGGGUGAGUAACGCGUGGGUAACCUGCCCCAUACAGGGGGAUAACAGUUAGAAAUGACUGCUAAUACCGCAUAAGACCACAGCACCGCAUGGUGCAGGGGUAAAAACUCCGGUGGUACAAGAUGGACCCGCGUCUGAUUAGCUGGUUGGUGAGGUAACGGCUCACCAAGGCGACGAUCAGUAGCCGGCUUGAGAGGUUGAACGGCCACAUUGGGACUGAGAUACGGCCCAGACUCC